rnacentral:rRNA from 1 species
UACGGAGGGAGCUAGCGUUAUUCGGAAUUACUGGGCGUAAAGCGCACGUAGGCGGCUCUUUAAGUCGGAGGUGAAAUCCUGGAGCUCAACUCCAGAACUGCCUUCGAUACUGAAGAGCUCGAGUCCGGGAGAGGUGAGUGGAACUGCGAGUGUAGAGGUGAAAUUCGUAGAUAUUCGCAAGAACACCAGUGGCGAAGGCGGCUCACUGGCCCGGUACUGACGCUGAGGUGCGAAAGCGUGGGGAGCAAACAGG